AGGAUAGCCUUCUGCGUUUUCCGUCGUACGCCACGAUGGUCGUACGCCUGCUAAGCAAUGUGCGCCGUUUUUUUUCACUGUUGCACUGCCGCGUUUUCCUAUCGUAAGUAAAGUUGUAUAUCCUGCUUUUCUUCACAAACACAUAUCACAUAUUCUCUCUUUCCCAGAUCAGUGGUGGCUUUCUCUCGUGGUGUUUUAUUCCAUUUACUAGGAUAUCACUUCCCACUUGUUUGUCCGUGCUCACGCGCCCAUGCGCGCCUCAUUAAUAUGUACUCGAAGGCCCACGGAACCCGAUUACGAUUGUGCCCGUGGUGCAGCCGUACCUGUCAUAUGUAAGUAGAUUCAAUAGAUAGCGGAUGAUAGACAAUGCUGACACACUAGCUCAACGGCUCAUUAUGGCAAAGUAGUGCAUGGGUCUAGCUGCUGACGGUUUAGCUAGUGCUGGUCACCGAACUUGUGUCUUCUUUUUGCACUCUCUAUCUAGGCAUUUCUGUCGUUAGGUUUCGGGGCGCCUGCCGGAGGCUCUCCAGUCAGCCGUCAUGCACUUGAUGUACGGCGGUAAUCAGUAAAUCUGCUCGUACUUUUUGUAUGCUGAUGUAUGAAGUACUCGUGCAGAUACUUUGAUGCAGCAAGACACGUAAUGUACGGAGGUGCUCUGUACGUAAAGUACGUGGCAUGCGAAGUCCUUACAGCGGAGCAUUUGGCGUACGGAGGUAUUUGGCGUACGGAGGUAUUUGGCGUACGGAGGUAUUUGGCGUACGGAGGUAUUUGGCGUACGGAGGUACAUGGCGUACGGAGGUACAUGGCGUACGGAGGUAUUUGGCGUACGGAGGUAUUUGGCGUACGGAGGUACAUGGCGUACGGAGGUACAUGGCGUACGGAGAUACUUGGCGUGUAGGCGUACUUGGUGCAACAAGGCACAUGAUGUACGGAUCACUGAGUUUCAUCAGUUCUGCGAGUAAAAUUUGUGUGUUAAUGCACAGCUGCAGAUUGAAAGCCGAUUGAUAGGAGGUGAGGCCGAAAGCGAGGGGUAGUGUAGAGGUUAGACGGCCGGUUGUUUGGCGUUGCGGAGGUUGGGAUAUGGGGCUGCCUUGGGCUCUAGCGGGGCUGUGCCUAGGGAAUAUUUCCCAAUGCGAUAUUGUUCCGAUGUUCCGAUGGCUUGGAUGUGGGAGUCCAGUGUCGUGUCUCGUCCUUGAACUUGUAGAUCAGCAGAUCGCGAAAAUAAAUUGAUUGUUGAAUGGGUGGACGAACGGCAGAUGGAUGGCCGUGGAUAUUUAAGCCGUCGUUGUUUGGCUAUAUAUUUCUACCGGCAUCUGUCUCGUCCCUUGGUAAAGCAAGCGUUCCUGAUCAGUAGUAUAAGGACUUGUUCACAUGCUGUGUAAUUAGUACGGUGCGGCGGAAUUGUGAUUUGAAUUUUGGGCUAUUGGGCCGAAUGUCGAACUUGGGGGCUGAUUCGGCUGGAUUCGGGAUUGAUUCGAUGUAUAUGGAAAAAAAAUUGAUAUAAAGACCAUUUUGUAAUUGGGGACCCCACUUUAUUAAUUCACCAGUCGGCAAAUGCCGUGAAUUACUUUUUAGCAAUUAACCUGCCAUACAUAUACUUCUAUGAAAAGGGCAUCAGUAUGAAGUUAUCCAUAAGUGGCACACUAGUUAUCAGGGCCUCAGACCUGCUGAUAACUUUCAAAGUGGACAUCAACUUCCGAGCGGGAAAAUUCAUAGUCAGCCAUUUCCCUCCCCAAGGUCCUUCG
rnacentral:lncRNA from 1 species